CUCAAUAAUCAAAAAUCAGGGAAAGCCCAAACCGCGCUGUUCCCAUCAGCAGCCCUUCACCAUGGCAAAACAUGCAGGAAAAGUGUGGAGGUUUAUUCAAGUGUUCAGAGAGUUUGUUCCCUGUGGUGGUAAAAGCGAAGUAUGUUCAACAAGCCGCUGAGCAAGGUUUUUACACAUGCACACAAAGUAGGCAAACUCGGGAUCGGGACGGAGCAUGCGCGCCAAUCCCACCUCUCCGAAAAAUACUGUAUUUAUAAUAAGCUUAAAACGAGCCAUUAUUGUGUUAUUCUGGCCAAAUUACCUUAGGUUAUUAUAUUACAUUUUUAUAACACUAUUUCCACCACGUCCGGCACACCGUUAGGAACCUUAUACGUCACAGACCUGCAGCUGGUAUAAAAAGCUCCGUCUGAUCCAGCCUCCACAUUAGAGAGAAGCAGCGUCUGAGAGCAUCGUAAACCAUCUGGCCAGGUUACAAAGAAAAAAACAAAUGUGCAAAAUGACGAAUGUUCAACUAGGAGUGGUUUUGCUCGCCAUAUGUUUAUCAACACAGAUGGUCUCCUGGACUGCAAUGGCAGUCAGCAGCAACAGCACAGCUAUGACAGCAGGGGGGAACUCCACCUACAAUGGUACCACUACCACGGCCACAGACACCUUUAGCGGUGCAACCAACUCCACCUCCGCUACUGGAGCGGGCGUCUCACUGCACACAGGCACCUUCACUUUCUUGAUCCCCUUCGUCAUGGCAGCCUUUCUCCUCCAAAGCUACUGUUGAAGCCCGGAGCCCACAGCCCCCAUCUUCUCUGCCUCAACACUCCUCCUCACCUCCCAUCCCAUUAUCCCACGCAGUCCAGCCUCUCUCAGAGACCACAAGACUAACAUGGAUGGGCUCUACAACCUUUCUACGUCCUCCUUAAGUAAUGCUAAAAAGUAUGUAAGUCAAGACAUUUCUUUUAACAAAGGGGGUUUAGCCUACAGCGGGAGAUCAUCACCAAUCCAACUUCCUUCAGCCCCUUGCACGGAUUCAAAAGGAACAGUGGUGCAUCCAGCUUCCCUUUUUGGCUUGCAUUUCCUUAGUCAUGCCAUCACAUUUUGGAGAUGCUCAGGGCUGCGGGUUUUCAUGUCACGUGUCUCGAUUGAAAUGCGGACCACUUGAGUGUACAGAGGUUCUUUUUGUGGCUUCUAAUCGACCUGGCAAUCAAUAUCAGAAUGUGUUUUGUUUGUUAAAGUUUGGCAGAUACAGUAGGAGGUUUGAGAAAAAAGUAUGAGCCAGAUGACCUCUUUAGUUGGUUUUACAAACAAAACAAAACAAAAAACAAAAAAAUGGCUCUUCAGUCUUUUUAUUAGAAAUGUCAUUGAGAUGUAUGUAGCAAAAAAGUUGCCACAUGAUGUGUCAGUUUUGCCUUGUGAUUUUUAAAGAGCUGUGGUCUUUUACAAUGAGGGUUUGAUUGACACCUUUGCUCCCUUCAUCCAACGGUUAGGUGCAGGAAAUGAGUGUAUGUGAAACCAUAUGGGAGGGGUUGAUGUUACAAUUCCCCCUUAUAGUUUAUAUUUUGUAUAAAUGGAAAUGUUGUACUGUUUAUUAGUUUGCGUAAAGAUCAUUGAAGAAACGACAAUGUACAAUAAAUUAUGAAAAACUACAACUGUAAUCGCUUCUUUGAUUCUCAUUUUGUUUUAACAUGGCUAACUUUCCAGAGGAAACAUUUAACCAACUCUAUCUAAUCCUUUGGUUUUCCCACCUCCAAACGUGCAGGCCAUUUAUCAUCCUUGUGCAGUGUAUAGAAUUAAAGGGUGUGGUGAUAUUUUAUUCAUCAUUACUAAGCUGCCAGGCAGUCGAGACAGGCAGUUGCUGAGCUGCAGGCCAGAGAGAUGGACUCAGCACUCCCUUGUGCCCCUAAAGAUCUACUCUGGAUUUGUGCCAGAGCAGUACUUACCGACUGGAUACAAAACAAUAUCAGCCCCUAUGGUGCUCUAGUGACGAACAACAUUUAGACAGAUGGAUGAUGAGUCUUCAAUUUUGAGUUUAGAAGAGGGAGAGAGGCCAUGCAACAGCUGAUAACAUGCACAAAUGGGUUAUUUCAGUCUGAAGUUUGAAUACCAUUAUUUUUAUCUUUCAAUAUCUGAAAGAAUAAAGAUGAUGUCAAAGACCUCUCCAGGGAACACAAUGUCAAAUUUGAUUAUGUACUUAAACAGGUUUGGCCUUUGGCUGUUACUUAACACUGUCUAGUCUUGUCUGUGGCUUAAUUCACCAACAGCUGCAGAGUAUAGAAUAAUAUCUGUGGAGGCAUGAGAUCAAUUGAAGUUCAUAUGAUUCUAACUGAAAUAUUUUCUAAAUAUCUAAUGUAUUCAAUACAAGAAAUGUUUAUUUUUUUCUAAAUAUGCUCUCUUGGGGAACGAAUGAACAGCAGAUUUAAUUAAACUUAAUUAAACCUAAAGUCAGCUCUUCUAUUAUCCCAUUUGUAAUAGUGCGUUUAGGGGCGUCAUUAUUCGUACACGGAGCUUCAGAUUUAUCCCUCAUUAUUCCAUGCAUCCAUUUCCUUUUGGGGGUUUUGGUAGCUCUCUGUUAUUCACUGCUAGUCUGGCAAACAAAAAAAAAAGCUACCAACAAAGGGGGAAAAAAAUCAACACAUCCCAUACGAGCGUGCCCCUAUGAUGACAGAGAGUAGCGUGUGGCUCGGAAAUGCCUCAGCACCAGUAAAGCCAGCCGCAUGACUCAUUAGCCCAGUCUAUUGUUUCUCAAUCCUCUCUGCACUAUUAACCUCUCCUCACGCCCGGUCUCCCCUCUCUUUUAACAUCCCUGUUCCGGAUCUAUCUGUUUAAUAUCCCCCAACAGACUAGUCUGCAAAUGCAAGUUCUCAAAAACGAAUGAGGCUUUUUCUUCCCAUAAUGCAGCUGAAGUCAUGAUUUGACAGUGAUGUUAAGACUUUCA
ensembl:lncRNA